UGCUGCAGAUCAUUCCCUGAUCCUUGAAAUGCUAAUCGCAGCAUUUGAAUCCGCUCUUUUCCUGACAACACACUUGAGAAGGUUUUCAAACUGACCAGCUGUCUAACUACUCCUCAUAAAUCACUUGCCUUGAUGUAGCGGCUGUUUCAUUUCACUGCAGGUUUUCUCAAGGCAACGAGGUCCUGUUUGACUGGGUGUCUGCCUUUCCAAUACACAAUGAGGGACUUGGUUUUAUUGCUGAAGACAGAAGCUGAUAGGCACAAUCCUAUCUCCAAGGCCAAGACUGACUGCAACCSCCAUCGUCAAAAGAGCUUUGUAAGACUCACCUUC